CAGGCCUAACACAUGCAAGUCGAGCGGGCCCUUCGGGGUCAGCGGCGGACGGGUGAGUAACACGUGGGAACGUACCCUUUGGUUCGGAACAACCCUGGGAAACUAGGGCUAAUACCGGAUACGCGCGAGAGCGGAAAGGUUUACCGCCGAAGGAUCGGCCCGCGUCUGAUUAGCUAGUUGGUGAGGUAACGGCUCACCAAGGCGACGAUCAGUAGCUGGUCUGAGAGGAUGAUCAGCCACAUUGGGACUGAGACACGGCCCAAACUCCUACGGGAGGCAGCAGUGGGGAAUAUUGGACAAUGGGCGUAAGCCUGAUCCAGCCAUGCCGCGUGAGUGAUGACGGCCUUAGGGUUGUAAAGCUCUUUUACUCGGGAAGAUAAUGACGGUACCGAGAGAAUAAGCCCCGGCUAACUUCGUGCCAGCAGCCGCGGUAAU
rnacentral:rRNA from 1 species